GCACUACUGAGGAGACCCAUAAUAGGACGAAACGGCCGUCCAGUGC
rfam:Schistosoma rodhaini strain Burundi genome assembly, scaffold: SROB_scaffold0000269